ACAUAUGUAUGUAUAUGUGUAUGUAUAUAUAUGUGUAUGUAUGUAUAUAUAUGUAUAUAUGUAUGUGUAUACAUAUGUAUGUACAGUAUGUAUAUACAUACAUAUAUAUAUAUAUUUAUAUAUAUAUAUAUAUAUAUAAUAAUCCAAUCAAGACAUAUAUAUAUAUAUAUAUAUAUAUAUGUGUGUGUGUAUAUUUAUAUAUGUGCGUGCGUGUCAUUGUGUAUAUAUGCAGUGGGGCAAAAAAUUAAUUUGUCAGCCACCGAGAGACAGAAUGUGAAAAAAAAUCCAGAAUUUCACAUUGUAGGAAUUUUAAAGAAUUUAUUUAUAAAUUAUGUUGGAAAAUAAGUAUUUGGUCAAUAACAACAUUUCAACUCAAUACUUUGUAAUAUAACCUUUGUUGGCAAUAACAGAGGUCAUACGAUUACUAUAGGUCUUUACCAGGUUUGCACACACAGUAGCUGGUAUUUUGGCCCUUUCCUCUGUGCAGAUCUUCUCGAGAGCAGUGAUGUUUUGGGGCUGUCGCCGAGCAACACGGACUUUCAGCUCCCUCCACAUAUUUUCUAUGGGGUUAAGUUCUGGAGACUGGUUAGGCCAGGCCACUCCAGGACUUUCAAAUGCUUCUUACGUAACCACUCCUUUGUUGCCCGGGCGGUAUGUUUGGGAUCAUUGUCAUGCUGGAAGACCCAGCCACGUUUCAUUUUCAAACCUCUCACUGAUGGAAGGAGGUUUUGGCUCAAAAUCUCACGAUACAUGGCCCCAUUCAUUUUUUCCUUAACACGUAUCAGUCGUCCUGUGCCCAUAGCAGAAAAAAAGCCCCAAAGCAUGAUGUUUCCACCCCCAUGCUUCACAGUAGGUAUGGUGUUCUUGGGAUGCAACUCAGUAUUCUUCUUCCUCCAAACACAACAAGUUGAGUUUAUACCAAAAAGUUCUGGUUUGGUUUCAUCUGACCACAUGACAUUCUCCCAAUCCUCUGCUGUAUCAUCUAUGAGCUCUCUGGCAAACUUCAGAUGGGCCUGGACAUGCACUGGCUUAAGCAGGGGGACACGUCUGGCACUGCAGGAUUUGAUUCCCUGUCGGCGUAGUGUGUUACUGACUGUAACCUUUGUUACUUUGGUUCCAGCUCUCUGCAGGUUAUUCACCAGGUCCCCCUGUGUGGUUCUGGGAUUUUUGCUCACCGUUCUCAUGAUCAUUUUGACCCCACGGGAUGAGAUCUUGCGUGGAGCCCCAGAUCGAGGGAGAUUAUCAGUGGUCUUAUCCACUCUUCCCAGUCUGGUGCAGGUCUACAAUCCUUUUCCUGGUGUCCUUCGACAGCUCUUUGGUCUUGGCCAUAGUGGAGUUUGGAGUCUGACUGUUUGAGGCUGUGGACAGGUGUCUUUUAUACUGAUAACGAGUUCAAACAGGUUCCAUUAAUACAGGUAACGAGUGGAGGACAGAAGAGCUUCUUAAAGAAGAAGUUACAGGUUUGUGAGAGCCAGAGAUCUUCCUUGUUUGAAGUGACCAAAUACUUAUUUUCCACCAUGAUUUACAAAUAAAUUAUUUAAAAUUC